rnacentral:rRNA from 1 species
CCUACGGGUGGCUGCAGUGAGGAAUAUUGGUCAAUGGUCGAGAGUCUGAACCAGCCAAGUAGCGUGCAGGAUGACUGCCCUAUGGGUUGUAAACUUCUUUUAUAUGGGAAUAAAACGUUCCACGUGUGGGAUUUUGUAUGUACCAUAUGAAUAAGGAUCGGCUAAUUCCGUGCCAGCAGCCGCGGUAAUACGGAGGAUCCGAGCGUUAUCCGGAUUUAUUGGGUUUAAAGGGAGCGUAGGUGGAUUGUUAAGUCAGUUGUGAAAGGUUGCGGCUCAACCGUAGAAGUGCAGUUGAAACUGGCAGUCUUGAGUACAGUAGAGGUAGGCGGAAUGCGUGGUGUAGCGGUGAAAUGCUUAGAUAUCACGAAGAACUCCGAUUGCGAAGGCAGUUCACUGGACUGCAACUGACACUGAGGCUCGAAGGUGUGGGUAUCAAACAGGAUUAGAUACCCGGGUAGUC